rnacentral:lncRNA from 1 species
GCUCUCUGGGGAGGGAGAGGGAGAGAAGUCCCAGCCCACCCUGCAGAGAGAGGGGCAGGCUCCAACGCAGGAGCCGGAGCCGGGAUUCGCGCGUUGUCAUGCACAUGGAGAGGAGGUGGGGGAUCCUCUGCAAGCAUGUGCAUGGGUGCUCCAGAGACGCCCACCCUCCCCGGAUGAUAACGGAGGCACAAGGCAAGCCUGGCGGCUCCCCUGCUCUAGGCGCGGGCUUAACUCCCAGCUGACUGCAGCAUCUGGAUCCGCCUGAGCCUUUGCAGAGUCAGGGCCUCAAAACCUCCGGGCGAACACAGCCUGCGCCCGAAUCUUCCCCCGCGGGAGCCGGAGGGGUCCGCUCAGCGAGGGGGGGGAAAUCAUCCGGAGCGACCAGAGGGUCCGAUGCCAGUUUCCAUGGAAACAGCCGGGAGCAGAAACCGGGAACCAGAAUCCAGAAACGCGAAGCCUCGCGCUCCUGUUCAUUGCGCUCCCUGGAUUCCAGCUCCCGUUCCCCCAGGGAAACUGGCUUCGCACGCAGGAGCCGAGAGGCAGGCGCGGGCUGCAGCCGCAGCGUGGCAGCUCCCCGGGACGGCCCCGCCGCGGCAGAGCUUUUGUGCAGGCCGCUCCGGCCCCCGGUUCUGGAAGCAGUCGGGAGAGCGGCCGGCAGCUGGGGCCGAGGCCGCUCCUGGGGAGAUCUCAGCUGCUGGCUUCCUGCGGGGGGAUGUGAGUGUCAGGUUCCAGCGCCAGCCCAGCUCCGGACCCGUGUGAGCCGGGCGGUGGCUGGGCCGAGGGCUGCGGCGCUCACGCCUUCCAGAAAUUCAGCGCGCCACGGUCCCGCCAGCCCGUCGGCUCCUCUCGGGGUCCCAGACGAUGCCGCUGCGGUCAACCCAUGGGGUUGGUGGUGGGGGCGGGGGGAGAAGGGCCUCGCCAAGCCCCCGGACCUGCAUCUUGUAUGGGCAGGACGUGCAUGGACGUGUCUGUGGUGCCGGGGACUAGCGGGUCUCCGGUGCAUCCAGCCCCCAUGGGUGAGGCUCUGUCGGGUCCUGCCCCUAUUCCAAAACCCAGCUGCCCCGUGACAGGAGACAACAGGUGGGGAGAGCACGUGGCCGGGGGGGCUGGUGAGAUGCACAACCAGCCCUGUCCCGCAUAACCGGCCAGGGGCACACGUGCUUCAUGGUGUCACCAAGGAGCCUCUGUUGUGCACCUCCGCAGCCUGGUGCUGUACAAGUCCAGAGCAAGGAGAGCCCGGAGCAUUGCGUGCAGCUAAUGGCAGCGCUGUGAUCACCCAGGGUACGUGAGGGGCAUGUUCUGCACACCCAGGCAGCCAUGGGAGCAGGGCAGAUGGGACCUGCCCCUGCACGCGGGGUGUUUGGCUGCAGUUGCAAGCUGCCCAGGGCCCAGCUGCAUCAUGGCCCCCAGGGGCCUGGCAUGAGCAGUGCAGCAAGGCCAGAGAGCAUGAGCAGAGCUCCCUGCUCCCCAGCGCUCUGCAGAGGGUCCGGGCAGCUCCUCGGGGUCCGUCUCCCCAUCUGUACGCUCGGCAGCAGGGGGAGGGGGCUGGCUGCUUUCGAAGCAGAGACACGCGUUGCACCGGAGGCAAGAGCAGAGCGGAGACGUUCAGGGUAGUGGGGGGGCCAGGCUGCCGCACGGUGCCUGUGUGCAUAUAUCCUAGCUGUCAGGCCGUCCUGGCGCGCGCAACGACGCAGGCCCCGUUCCCUGCCUAUCGCAGCCGGCUCGCUCAGCCUGGCCUUCACCAGCUCGGCAGAGGCUGAUAAAGGAGCUGCCUCGGCUUCGGGGCUGCAUCUGCUUUCGCCUUCGAAGCACGAGCCCCGGGCACCGGGGAUCCAGGCUC